rnacentral:lncRNA from 1 species
AAACCUCUACAUGGAUCCCUUGCAUGGGUGUUGUACAAUGGGAGCUUUCAUUCCUGCUUUGGCACCUGCAACCCUGGGUUAACAGUACCAUGGAGCGGAGAAAGCGUUUACCAGAGUGCGGUGCCGCGAUCCCACCCCGUGCAGCAGUUGAGCAGAGGUCAUCUUUAAGUAAAAGCCAUCUGAUAUUUUACUGCAAGCAUGUGGCAGUGAAGACGACAAUGACUGCUAGUAUGGUUUGUGCCACUGCCUUGAUUUCCGCUCAGGCACCAGCAGUCUUACCCACCAUUGCUUUGGUGCAGUUGGUGGAGAUAUCAAUGGAUCAAAAGCGCAAGUAAUAUGACAAAUGACCUGUGAGAUGUGAUGAAGGAGAGAGAGAUGAACAAAAAAGAGGUAAUGCACAGCCAUGGAUUUCCCGAAGCCCCUCUCCUUGAGGGCUCUUCUUGUGCUCUGGGGAGAUGCGCCACUAAAAGAAAAGGCUAACUGUUCAAGGUGAAAAAACACCACUCCCUAAAAGGAGCAAGACUUGGCUGCAUGCAGAGAUACCAAGUUAAAGGAAUUCACAUCAUUAUAUCUCCCAGAGGACAAAGCCUAGAACUUUCUACAUUCAAGUCAGUGAAUAUUGGGGAGUGGGGAAUCCAUGAAUUCAUUAUGUGGAGGCAAUUUUAAUUCAGAAGAUGGAAACCAGCAUAAUAUAGAUCUGUCGUGGCUUCAGCAUCAGGAAACAACACACUGAUCAUGACAUCAAACUCCAGAGGAAGCCGGCUAAGGAUGUGCUUGUUUUGAUGUGACAUGUGCCUGCGAUGAUUAACUCUCAUGCUCCCACAAUCUCUCCAGGGCCCCAGACUUGGUCCUUCCUCGCCUGUAAACAGGAUCAGGAUGCAUCCUGGAGUUCAGCCAAGGGCAUCUGGCCUUGGGUAAGACAGACUCCACAAAACACAUACAUUGUUCCUGGCAAGGGAACCACGAGGGAAGGAAAAGGAGAGAAGGAAGGCAGCAUGGGACACUGACAUCCAUCCACGUAUGACAAAUCACAUCAGAUGCAACUGAGCACAUGCAACUCAGAGGGAAAAGACAGGAAUAGGCCCAUGGAACACAUUCACCUUCUACAUGAUCAACAGCUUCGGGAAAGCAAUACAGCCAAGUGCCAAGUGAGAAAAAGGGAAAAGCAUGUAAAAUGAAUGAAAUGUUGACUGCAAUGGAAGACAUUUUAGACUGUUCUUGUUACAUAACAAAGAGAGGGAGGAAACCAUGCUGGGAGGAGACAUUGGGAGAGACCUGCCAACAGACCUCCAAAUGCAUAUUCAAAUGGUGUUUCAAAGCACUUCUUUGGGCUUAAGUCUUUUUACCUAUAAGAUGGAUUUUAAUGUUUCCAUUAAAAAUGGAAACUGUAUUGAUUAGUGCCUCAGGGAGAGAUGUGACUGAGCAGAAAUAAAAGUAGCCUGCAAAACUUCCUGAAUUAUAUCUUCAAAAGCCUAAGAUCAUUAAGGAAGAGAGAGUUUGGAGAAAAUAGCAUGGAGGUUUGAAAAAAGCAGAUGAGAGAGAGGAGUUUUGCCCUUCAACUAACAGAGAGGAAUCUCCUGCCAGAGGCAGGGUUGCAGGACUCAGGCCUCUUCUUGGUGUGGCAUAUUCCCAGAAUUGAUCCCCAGCUGUCUCUGGGGGAUGAGUCAAUGGCCACUGAGAGUUCCUGCCUUCAAGAACAUUCCUGUGUGUUGAGAGUGGCAGGAGCAGUGGAGAUCCCCAGGCCUGAAACGUGAUGUUGAUGGGGACCACAGAACAGAGUAGCCGGGAGAGUGCACAGAGCAUAACCAGCACCCUGAUGCCUGAUGCUUGGCCAUGGGCGAUUCUGCAGCAUUGGCAUGCCAUCCGUCAGAGUGGUGACAAAGACUCUCUCCUUUACCAAACUCUAGUCAGGCCCCUCUGAGCCCUCUUCUCCACUAGACCUCAACUUCAGCCUAUAAAAACUACAGAAACUACAAAAACUACUCUCCAUAUAAAUGAUUUUGUCCACAGCCCCUGGUGCGCGCACACACACACACACACACACACACACACACACACACACACACUGACACUGGCUAGCAUAGUUUCUAACAACUCAAGCUCAUGUCCCUAGAAUGACAGCUCUACCUUCUUUAAAUUCCUGCCUGGGAAAGCUCAAGGCUGCCAAAAGAACUGACUGCUUCUCCAACACCUGAAGAUGUGCUGGUGUUGUCUCCCCAUCUCCCAGUCCCUGUAGGAGGUUAGGAGCCUAAUUUCCCUAAGUGCCAGUUAAGAAAGCCAAAUGACCUAAUAGCAUUGACAGAUUUGCCUUCCUGCUUUUUGAGAAUUUCCACUUCCCUGAUUCUACUCAAGUCCCCACUGUUCCCGUGUCCUACUUUCUCAUUCUCCCCUUAAGAACACCACACCCAAUCCCAUUACUGGGUAUAUACCCAAAGGAUUAUAAAUCAUCCUACUAUAAAGACACAUGCACAUGUAUGUUUAUUGCAGCACUGUUCACAAUAGCAAAGACUUGGAACCACCCCAAUGCCCAUCAAUGUUAGACUGGAUAAAGAAAAUGUGGCACAUACACACCAUGGAAUACUAUGCAGCCAUAAAAAAGAAUGAGUUCAGGUCCUUUGCAGGGACAUGGAUGAAGCUGGAAACCAUUGUUCUCAGCAAACUAACACAGGAACAGAAAACCAAAUACCGCAUGUUCUCACUCGUAAGUGGAGGUGAACAAUGAGAACAUAUGGGCACAGGGAGCGGAACAUCACACACUGGGGCCUGUCAGGGGGUGGGAGGCAAGGGGAGGGAUAGCAUUAGGAGAAAUACCUAAUGUAGAUGAUGGGUUGAUACGUGCAGCAAACCACCAUGGCACAUGUAUACCUAUGUAACAAACCUGCACAUUCUGCACAUGUACCCCAUAACUUAAAGCAUAAUAAAAAUAAAAAAUAAAAAAAACUAAAAGAGUAUUGUUUGUAACACAAAGAAAG